GGCGACCUGGGUGGAUUGCCCAGGGUGUACCCCACCUCUUGCCCGAAGAUGCUGGGAUUGGCUCCAGCUUCCUUGCGACCCAGGUGGAUUAAGCGGUAUAGAUGAUGGAUAGAACAUCUAUUACAUUCUCGCUGCCCAAUGAAAACCACUCAGGCCUUUGUCCACUAUUUUACAAUCGUGAUUUUCUGUAAUAGAUGGAAUUUUCCCAUUCUCCUGUCUACUGAUAGCAUCUGACAUAUAAUUGAACAAUGGAACGAUGUUUUAUGACGUCAUCUAUUUAAUUAGUAUUAUUACUAGUAUUUAUGUUGUUUAGUUAACAUCUCUAUGCAUGACAGUGGUUUGUAUGGAUUACUUUAUAUCGCUGAUUUUAACAACUUAAUACUGAUAGUCUCACAGUUAGCUAACUAACAACACUGUAAAUUGUCAAUAUAAACCGCCAUUAAAUGCUUUCUUCUUGACACCGACAUUUUUGCCUCCCUGACAACAAUCCAUGUAAGUCCAUUUGAAACAUUCAAUUUCAUUUGAAACCGUGCACUGACGGCUGUUUGAAGAUAAGUUUCUAUUUGUGGUGCUAAUUAAGGGCGUCUCAUUAGGCUGUUUUAUGUACAUUUUGUAAAGUUGUUUGAGAAAAUGUGUUUUUUUCACACUCCAUUUUUUGCAGAUGUGUGUUUUUAAUUAGACAGUGUUUAUGUAUUCCACGUUUGCUUUUUUUUUGCUGUUAAUUAUUAAAUUAAGCUCAUGAGUAAUAACUAACAUUUUUAUGCUGCCUAUUUCAAACCGGCAGAUAUCUAAUGACCUAAAGAGGGAUUUAUGCCUCGAUCAAGGAACCAUCCCAGGAAAUUUACCCAUAAUCUACGGAUGUCAUACACAUGCACCACAGCGCUGUAACUUUUACUCGAGUGGACAGAUCCACAUUGGCAACCUGGUGUCACACAGGUCUGAGAGUCAGCGCUGUCUCGUCGACCUCGGCGUGGGACAGUUGCCCGGUUUGUAUGACUGCACGGAGGCUCAGAGUAAGAACUUCCACAUGCUGUGGGACUUCAAACAGGGACAGGCGAUAAAGAACAGGGGCACGAACAGAUGCCUUGAGAUAAAUAUCGGUCAAGGCUCCAGUUACCAGCUGGUCAUGCGGGAGUGCAGCGGUCAGCACUGGACGAUACAGCAUAAGAUCAGGGAUUUCUGAACGGGAGGUAAGUGUGCAGCGUGUUGAAUACCAAAGCACAUAAGGAGGCUGCCGUCCCAUUUGGCUGAUGCCUCUUGUGUUUAAAACUGAGAUUAAGGGCUUUACAAAGAAAUGAAAAGAAAAGAGGGAGUGGAAAUUUCCCCCGCUAAUGUAAAACAAAAUACACAGUGAGAUGGGCUGUCAUAUGUCACCUGUCAUAUGCUCACCUUACAAUGUCUUUCUCUAGCUUGUGUCCAAAGCAAACAAACCUGAGUCAACAUGUUUGCAAAGCAAGCAGAUAGACAAAGGUAGGAUACAUGACUAUGGCUGCUUCUUCAGAGGCAAACCUGUGCUGAUACGCGAGUCACAGUGAUUCAGACAGAACUAAAAUUUGAACCAAAAUAGAGUUUUAUAUGCAUUUCUGAAGUAACUAUUUUAGAAAUGGCCAUACUAUUGGUCACUUUACUCGGGAAUGAGCGUGUAUGAAAAAUGCGGUACUGGGAGGGGUAAAUCAAUGCAAAAAUAUCUGUCCGCCCAGACAGGCAGCCCUAUCCUCCCCCAGCAUUGAAACAAGGUGGCUCAUAUCAGAGUUGUGGAUAUUACAGCUCUAGAGCAGUUUCUCCCCACCGCAAAUCCAGUCCUCGGGGACCCACAGACAGUCCCUACUGGGAGCAGGGAGGAAGCGAAAGCAUGGACUGCUGCGGGUCCGAGAACCGGAUUGGGAAACACUCCCUAGAGAGACCAUGUGAGUUCUCCUUUUUAACUGGGUCACUGCCUAGGUCUGCGAGCAGAGAAUGACCAGAGGACCUCCCUGACCAGUCUAUCUGGAUGAGGCUGUCCGCCAUCAGGAGAGCCGUCCGCAGCAUCAUUGACCGGACCCCAGCCAGACUUAUCCUGGUCGACGACUGCAGCGCCAAUCAUUUCUUACACAAUUAAUAAACUGCAUUGUAUAAUAA